UAACUUUUCCACUCUCAUUACAAAUGCUCAGAUGGCUCACCUCGCAACUCCUAGCUCCAGCUGACUCCCUCUGUAUCCUCCUGCUGAUCCUGUCCCUGGCAGGCCUGGGCAGCUCUACUCCCAUUGACAGUCCCAGUCCCCAUCUGCUUUGUAAUGUCUGCCCUCUACAGCACAAAGAAAGAUCGUGCAGUAGUCACUUCACCACAGAGUGUCACCUGAAUGAACGCUGCGGUACUAGCACAGGGCAUUUUGGUUCCAUCCACAUCCUGUCUGCACAAGGCUGCCUGACUUAUGACCUCUGUAACUCCACCCACCCUGUGCUCUACCGUGGGGUCAGUUACAAUGUGACAUACAGGUGUUGCUGUAGGAACAGAUGUAACCAUCCACUGGCCCCAGAGAUGCAUACAGAGAGGCUGUCAGGAGGGAUGACGGAGCCCAGUGAGGUGCCUCCUAUGACGAACGACCCUCUGGACAGAUGUCCUGGAGAUUGACAUCUCCACGACCACGCUGUCACAUUCCCAUGUAUAACCGUAUCCUCUGAGACCUCCAGGAGUGGCUAGAGACUACUACUGAGAUCUGUCACUGGGGACAGGUCUAUUGGCAACUGACUUUCCACAGUCUCACACAAGGGAUGAUGCCCAUUUUAAUUGUUUAGGUUAAAUUGUGAAAUUGCCUAUUUAUUCACAUUUUCAAAAUGGUUUGCUGUUACUUAGUCAUGGUUCCCAGUGCUGGAAAAUGUAGCCAAUAAAAUUAUUUUGUUUGCAUUCCUGUCCUUUUAUUAGUGUGCCCUUUCUGGAGUCUGAAGACAUGAACAGUGCCACUGUUAGACAUGGGUUCCUUGUCAUUUAUCUCUGCUGGAUCACAUUUUUCAAAUUUGAUUUGUAGUAUUGAUCAUAAUUGAGGCAUGGUGGAAUAAAUCAUUUGAUCU
ensembl:lncRNA